rnacentral:lncRNA from 1 species
UAUGCAAAAUUUGAAUUAAGAUCAACAGUUUAUUCAUUAGUUAUUGAGGUUUAAAUCUGUUUUAGAAAUUAUUAGGAUUUGGUUUAGGAUUUGGUUAGGAUUUUAUUUAGGGUUUAGGGUUUUUUAAGGGUUUGAUUUAGGAUUUAGGAUUUGAAUUAGGAUUUGAAUUAGAGUUUAGGAUUUGGAUUAGGGUUUAGUUAGGGUUUGAUUUAGGAUUUAGGAUUUGGUUUAGGGUUUGGUUAGGGUUAGAUUUAGGGUUUAGGAUUUGGUUUAGGAUUUGGUUUAGGAUUUGGUUUAGGAUUUGGUUGGAGUUUGGUUUAAGAUUUAUUUAGGGUUCGAUUUAGGGUUUAGGAUUUUAUUAGAAUUUAAGAUUUAAUUAGUUUUGGCCUAAAGUUUGAAUGAAGUUCAAUAGAAUUUUAACUAGAAUUAAAUUAAGAUUGAAUUGAGAUGUAUUUGAAUGAUAUUUGUGUUCUUUCUAAUGUUUUUUUAAAAAUUCCUAUUGUUUGUUUGAAAUUUCUUUGAGGUUUUUUUAAAUUUGAUUAAGCUUGCUUAGUAUUAUUAUAGUCUAAUUAGAGCAUUG